rnacentral:rRNA from 1 species
UACGGAGGGGGCGAGCGUUAUUCGGAAUUAUUGGGCGUAAAGGGCGCGUAGGCGGCUUGAUGUGUCAAAGGUGAAAUCCCUCGGCUCAACUGAGGAACUGCCUUUGAAACUGUCUGGCUUGAGGCCGGGAGAGGGUAGCGGAAUUCCCAGUGUAGCGGUGAAAUGCGUAGAUACUGGGAGGAACACCGGUGGCGAAGGCGGCUACCUGGACCGGCUCUGACGCUGAUGCGCGAAAGCGUGGGUAGCAAACAGG